GCAAGUCACUGAGGGUGAGAACCCCGUCCGUGGCCCGGUGAUUGGCCCAGCAGUGGAGCGGCCCCAAUGAGUCGGGUUGUUUGGGAAUGCAGCUCAAAAUGGGUGGUAAAUUUCAUCUAAAGCUAAAUAUUGGCAAGAGACCGAUAGCGAACAAGUAGAGUGAUCGAAAGAUGAAAAGCACUUUGAAAAGAGAGUGAAACAGUGCGUGAAAUUGUUGAAAGGGAAGCGCUUGGCAUCAGCCCAUGACUUUUGUCCAUCAUCCUGGCUUCUGCCUUUUUGUAUUUUGUCAAGAGUUGGGCCAGCGUCGGCUCCUUCCGCCCUAGAAAGGCCUUGGGGGCGUGGCUCCAUCUGGAGCGUUUAUAACCCUUGGCGGCAUGGGGUGAGAUGGGGCCGAGGUCCGCGGCAUAGCCCAGGACGCUGGCGUAAUGGUCCCAAGCGACCCGUCUUGAAACACGGACCAAGGAGUCUAACAUCUAUGCGAGUGUUUGGGUGUCAAGCCCGGCCGCGCAAUGAAAGUGAAAGGGGCGGGAGCCUAGA
rnacentral:rRNA from 1 species